rnacentral:rRNA from 1 species
GACAGAGGGUGCAAACGUUGUUCGGAAUUACUGGGCGUAAAGCGCGUGUAGGCGGCCCUGCAAGUCGGGUGUGAAAUCCCAUGGCUCAACCAUGGAAGUGCACUCGAAACUGCAGGGCUAGAGUCCUGGAGAGGAAGGUGGAAUGCUUGGUGUAGAGGUGAAAUUCGUAGAUAUCAAGCGGAACACCGGUGGCGAAGGCGGCCUUCUGGACAGUGACUGACGCUGGGACGCGAAAGCGUGGGGAGCAAACAGG